ACGCGACCGGUUAACCAAGAUUGCAGCAGCGAAUUGGCUAAAGACUGGUGGCAGCUCCAGUAGCAUGCAGUCCAAGCAGGAGAAGAAUGAGUUCGAUCCUGAGCUGGUGGAGCAGAUAUACGAAACCGAGUUGAAGGGGAAGGAUGGAAAUAAUACAGUACCUUUGCAGAGAGUUAUGAUUUUGGAGGUCAGCCAAUAGUUAGAGAACUAUCUUUGGCCAAAUUUUGAUCCAGAAACGGCGACAUUUGAACAUGUUAUGUUCAUGAUUCUCAUGAUAAACGAGAAGUUUGCACUUUCGAGAGAAUGUGGCACCUUGGUUAUGUUUUUACGAUCGGAAAGAUGUCUUCAAGGGAUUUCUG
rnacentral:misc_RNA from 1 species